rnacentral:tRNA from 1 species
AAAAUAAAGCUGAAGUCAGCAUUUCACUUACGUUGAAAAGGGUAUCGAGUAGUCGAUUUAUUUUGAG